CCUGGGUGCUGCCCAGACUGGAGGUGUUGAGGACACUGCGGACGCAGAACCUCCUCUAGACUCAGACACCAUUUUGGACCCCUUUGGUCAGGCGAUGUUCGACCCCCGCAACAUACGGCACCCCAGAUCGGGUGACUGGUCACCUCCAGAACACCUUUCCAGGUUUAUGCACCUGUGGCUCCGCAAACCUCUGGAGAAGGAGGUCCGCAGCCGACUCAGGUCUGAAUGCC